rnacentral:rRNA from 1 species
CUGGUAGAGAAUACCAAGGCGCUUGAGAGAACGAUGUUGAAGGAACUCGGCAAAAUACCUCCGUAAGUUCGCGAGAAGGAGGCCCAGUUUCUACGCAAGUAUUGGCUGGGGGCACAAACCAGGGGGUGGCGACUGUUUAUUAAAAACACAGGGCUCUGCGAAGCCGUAAGGCGACGUAUAGGGCCUGACGCCUGCCCGGUGCCGGAAG